rnacentral:rRNA from 1 species
AUUGAACGCUGGCGGCAUGCCUUACACAUGCAAGUCGAACGGCAGCGGACCUUCGGGUGCCGGCGAGUGGCGAACGGGUGAGUAAUAUAUCGGAACGUACCUUUCAGGUGGGGGAUAACGUAGCGAAAGUUACGCUAAUACCGCAUAUUCUGUGAGCAGGAAAGCAGGGGAUCGCAAGACCUUGCGCUGAUUGAGCGGCCGAUAUCAGAUUAGCUAGUUGGUGAGGUAAAGGCUCACCAAGGCGACGAUCUGUAGCGGGUCUGAGAGGAUGAUCAGCCACACUGGCACUGGAACACGGGCCAGACUCCUACGGGAGGCAGCAGUGAGGAAUAUUGGGCAAUGGGCGAAAGCCUGACCCAGCCACGCCGCGUGAGUGAUGAAGGCCCUCGGGUCGUAAAGCUCUGUGGAGAGGGACGAAAACCCUGGUUUCAAAUAGGCUCCAGGCUUGACGGUACCUCUUUAGCAAGCACCGGCUAACUCUGUG